rnacentral:rRNA from 1 species
AUGAAGCUAAGCAAAGCCUUGAACACUUUUGCUUCCAUGUCUUUGAUCUGUAUGAUGGCGGACCUAGUGGUACCCUCCUUCAUGGGACCAAAGAGUUGUGCCAUGAACACCGUGGAUCGGGCUGCAAGCACACACCUGUGUGCGACGAACAUCUCACCGCUGACCUCAAAUGUCACAUCGGCACCCACCUUAUUUUGA